rnacentral:rRNA from 1 species
CACGUAGGGGGCAAGCGUUGUCCGGAUUUAUUGGGCGUAAAGAGCUCGUAGGCUGUUCGAUAAGUCGGGUGUGAAACCUCCAGGCUCAACCUGGAGACGCCACCCGAUACUGUCAUGACUAGAGUCCGGUAGGGGAGCGUGGAAUUCCUGGUGUAGCGGUGAAAUGCGUAGAGAUCAGGAAGAACAUCGGUGGCGAAGGCGCUCUGCUGGACCAUAACUGACACUCAGGGACGAAAGCUAGGGGAGCGAAUGGG